CCAAACAGCAUUUAUGGCAUUAACUUGGGAAUACUAUCCAUCAAGCCUGAUGACAAAUGUGGAAGAUAAUGGUCUUGCCCACUGCUGGCUCAAGCCGCCAACUGUGCUAGGGAGGCAAGAGAAUGCAAUAACAGAGAAUCUGGGUGGGGCAGCCAGUCUCCCUGGCAGCCUGCCUCGCAAACAGUGACAACAAACGGUGGAAACUUUCACUGCCAAAAAGAGGAGGCCUUCACCAGUGACAUUUUGCAGACGUAAUCUAGACCCUGCUAAUAACAACAGCUGCUUUUUAUGGAGACCCUGCUCCAUGCCAGGUGCUCAGUAUUCAUCAUCUCAACUCCUGCCCGUCAUCCAGCAAGAUCCUUGAGGAAUCGUCACACUGUCUUCCACAAUGAUUGAACUAAUUCACACUCCAAGGUCCUGAGUCGGUGCUUGCUGCUUUCUCGUAUCACCUAGCCUAGAGGAGGCACUCAAUAAGUGAAGUCAACUUGAAGCCCGCUUUUAUUCACAAAUCCAAAUAAAAUGUAAGGCCCGAUGGCUCCUACUUCCUGCUCAGUUUUAGAAUGCCUCACUUCGUUCUCUUCUAGAAUUUAUUUAGUUCUUUGUUUUCAGAAGGCAUCUGGCAACAUCACCCUAACACUUGCCCCCAGCUCUGUUCCAGACAUGAUGUACUCAGCAUGCAGUGACCUCCAAGAUCUUCCCCACAACUCUAGCUCUUCCCAGCUAGAAACCGCGUUCCUCUUCCUCAGGGUCUUCCUUUAUCUCAUUACCCUCAGUCUACUGUUUUUGCUGUUAAAAAUGUUCUUCCAAUCCUCAUUUGUUCAAAGAAUGUUAUGUUGUUCCCCUGCUGAAAACUAGCUUUCCACUGUGCUUAGGAUACGUGUGCAGUCAGCCUUCCAUAUCCAUGGGUUCCUCAUCUGUUCUGUGGGGACUGCAGCUGUGGUUUCAACCAACUACAGAGCAAAAAUAUCCAGGGGAAAAUAAAUGUGUUU